CCCGGCAAUGAAUUGCCGGGCUAUUGUCUGGCGUCCCUACGGGACU
rnacentral:sRNA from 1 species